rnacentral:rRNA from 1 species
UGCCAGACUCCUACGGGAGGCAGCAGUGGGGAAUAUUGCACAAUGGGGGGAACCCUGAUGCAGCGACGCCGCGUGAAGGAUGGAGUAUUUCGGUACGUAAACUUCUAUCAGCAGGGAAGAAAAUGACGGUACCUGACUAAGAAGCCCCGGCUAACUACGUGCCAGCAGCCGCGGUAAUACGUAGGGGGCAAGCGUUAUCCGGAUUUACUGGGUGUAAAGGGAGCGUAGACGGGCCAGCAAGUCUGAUGUGAAAUCCCGGGGCCCAACCCCGGGAGUGCAUUGGAAACUGCGGGCCUGGAGUGCCGGAGAGGUAAGCGGAAUUCCUAGUGUAGCGGUGAAAUGCGUAGAUAUUAGGAGGAACACCAGUGGCGAAGGCGGCUUACUGGACGGUAACUGACGUUGAGGCUCGAAAGCGUGGGGAGCAAACAGGAUUAGAUACCCCGGUA